UACACACUGCCCGUCACGCCAUGAAAGCUGUCUGUACCCGAAGUUGUUUUAGCUAACCUGAAUAAGGGGGCGGGCACCUAAGGUAUGGGGAGUGAUUGGGGCG
rnacentral:rRNA from 1 species